rnacentral:rRNA from 1 species
AGAGUUUGAUCAUGGCUCAGGACGAACGCUGGCGGCGUGCUUAAUGCAUGCAAGUCGAGCGACGCACAGGUGAGGGUAACCAAGCCUGUGACGGAGCGGCGAACGGGUGAGUAACACGUGAGCAACCUGCCCCGAAGACCGGGAUAGCCCAGGGAAACUUGGAUUAAUACCGGAUACCCUCGCGGAACCGCAUGAUUCUGCGAGGAAAGCUUUUGCGCUUUGGGAUGGGCUCGCGGCCUAUCAGCUUGUUGGCGGGGUAACGGCCUACCAAGCCAACGAUCAGUAGCUGGCGUGAGAGCGCGACCAGCCACACUGGCACUGAGACACGGGCCAGACUCCUACGGGAGGCAGCAGUAGGGAAUAUUGGACAAUGGGCGAAAGCCUGAUCCAGCCAUGCCGCGUGGAGGAUGAAUGCCCUCUGGGUUGUAAACUCCUUUUAUCUGGGAAGAACCACCCCGACUUGUCGGGGCCUGACGGUACCAGAGGAAUAAGCACCGGCUAACUCCGUGCCAGCAGCCGCGGUAAUACGGAGGGUGCAAGCGUUAUCCGGAUUUACUGGGUUUAAAGGGUGUGUAGGCGGAUUGGUAAGUCAGUGGUGAAAGCCCCGAGCUUAACUUGGGAACUGCCAUUGAUACUGCCAGUCUUGAAUACGGUUGAGGUAGGCGGAAUAUAGCAUGUAGCGGUGAAAUGCUUAGAUAUGCUAUAGAACACCGAUUGCGAAGGC